rfam:Triticum aestivum genome assembly, contig: Triticum_aestivum_CS42_TGACv1_scaffold_112159_2AS
CUAUUACUUCCUUAGUUCCAAAUUAAUUGACUUGAAUUUGUCUAAAUAUGAAUGUAUCGAUACUUGUUUAGUGUCCAGAUACAUCCGUGUCUAGAUAAAUAUGGGUUAAAUAAUUUGGAACGGAGGGAGUACUAC